rnacentral:misc_RNA from 1 species
GCUUGAAUUACCAUCUUCAAUAAUGCUCCUUCCCUGCCCUAGAUAGAAGCUUUCGAUGCAAGGACUAUAACUUAUGCCAAACCCUCUUCUUGAUAUACCCCCAAAAUCUCCUCUUUUUUUGCAUCUUACCAGCGAAGGAAGACCCAAAUAAAGGCCUAGCUUUUCCAAUUCCCCAACUUCAAUAUGUCACAUAUAGCUCUAUAAUGAACG